UUGAGAAAACAGUGAACCCUGUCUCUCCCGUGUCAGUGCUAUGUGAAGUCCAGCCAGCCCAGAGCUUUAAAAUUCAGCCUGCUGAUUACUGCUGCGCCCAGCCCAGAGUGAGCACGGGGCUGGACUGUGUCCGCCAACAGACAUGAGGUUUGGGAUGCACGGAUUUCAUUCCUACUGGCAGAGUUAGGCGGUGAUGCUGUGUUGCUGCUCUCCUUGUACUUUAACCCUGGCUGUCUUGCCUCGGUAAAACCACAGGUCUCUUGGCCACAGAUGUACUGAUGCACCAAGCUGGCAUUGCUAGGGCUGCGUACCAGCAGGGAUGGUGCUGCUUCAGUAGGUUGGUUUCCAGCUGGAAAGUUAAAGGAGAACACAUGAGCCUGAAGGAAAAUACCGUUUUGCUGUCUUUUUCUUCUUCAUUUUAAAAAUAGACCGCAGGCUCUUUAACAGCAUACUGCAGCACCCGCUGCUUGCUGAAAAUCCCGAGGCCAGCGCGCUGGAGCACUGCGAUGCCAAACACGCCCGUCACAAAGUGCCGCAUUUAGGGGGCUUUCACUGGAGGUAGCUGAUGAAAAACAGAAUGGACACGUUGUAAGAACCGUCAGCCCAAGGAACAGAAGAUAGCUUUGAAGGAAUCCUCAAAGUCCUUUAGAAAGAGAGUCCUUUAGAAAAAAAAAAGGAAAAUCCAGAGAAUGAAAUACGGCCAGAAUGAGCUCACUGCAGGUGGCGUUGGUCGUGACUCGCACAGAGGAUCUUCGCGUGUAAUGCCAUCUGAUUUCUCAGCAAACCUGCAAGGCAGGCUGCUUCUCAGCGGUCUCUGUCUCUUGAUGCCGCACUCAUCCCACCGUUAGACAGGGAUCGUUGAAACAGAAGAAUAGAAAUGAUCGCUGGACCAUUUAAUGCAACCUUGUGUAUCACAUGAUGCAGGAAUUACUUAAUGAAAUUCCCUGGCCCAAACCAAGCAAAUCUGUGGUAAAUCUAGAGCACAUAUUUUAGGAUGACAGCCAAAAUGAUGAAAGGAAUUUACUACCCAGCCUUGCUAAUCAUUUUGAACGCUCAACUGGUCUCCCUAACAUGUAGCUUUGUAAGCAGCGAUACUAACACGGCCUCAUUUCCUACAGAUUCCUCCUCCAGACUUCCCACCCAUGCUGAGCACCCCAAAAAUCCCCUCCCAGUCCCCUCCCAGCUCUGCCAGGGCCGGGGGGCGAUGGGGCACGGAGCUCUCAUUCCUUGCUGCCAGCCUCCGGGAAGAGACGGAGGCCCCAGGUUGCAGCUGCCUCUCCUGCCACGCAGGUUUGGGGUGCUUCUCUUUCCCCGUUGUUUCCCUGAAGCUUACAGGCACUUAGUGUCUUUGAGAGGCCACCUACAAAUGUGGUAGAAAUUGGCUUUUGGGGUCAGAAGCCAUUUGAGAUGGGUUGAUCAAUAGGUGCUUUCUUUAGAAACCAAACUAGAAAUGGAAGGUAUUUGUGUCACUUUAGCUUCUAACCAUUAGAUCUCAUUUAUUUUUGUCUUGGCUAGAAUAAAAUGCAAAGAAGCACAGGGUAGCAUCUUUUUGUAUUACACAUGCAUGCCUUUGGGUUUGUCUCCUGCAGGGAUUUCCCUGGCCUGGUUGGUUGUGCCUUCAAGGUCUUGUACCAUGGCCUUGUUGACAGAUGACAUCCCGCAUUUCCAACCUCAAGCUCCCUCUUGUGCCCCCCCAAAUAUGAACAUUCCUAAAAAAUGCACGUUCUGAAUUCUGGGAUUGUUUUUGAGUGUUAAAACACUUUAGAUAUCUUGAAGUACCUGAAACAGCUGCACAGGGCUGGCAGACAUGCCACAGCAGUCCAAGAAAGUUGCAUUUUCUAGCACAGAGCCUGGAGGCUGAGCUCGAAGUUGUACGACACUCCAAGUGACACUAAAUGCCGAUGUUUAGACUGCUAAACACACCUGCUUUUUUGUGAAGCUGUAUUUGGGUCACUUUGUAACAAGAGGAUCUUGGAAAGAGACUGUACUGAGCAGGCAUGAAGUGCUCUGCACCAGAGCAGGUUGUUCUUGUGACUGCUCAGAAGAUGACGGCUGCAGAAUUUGAAGCCAACGGGGCGCACUGUUAUCUCAGUAAAGGUUAAAGCAUUGAAAUAAAGAAGCCUUACUGAAGUAAUGCUUAUGUUCUCUGCAAAAACAUGCUCAGAUUUUAGCAGAUGUGAUGAUGUUGAGCCUUCCCGGUUGCCAACACCCCAUGGCUCUCCAACAUCUUUGAUUAUUUUAUUAUUCCAUACUGCCUGCACGUUGUAGGAGUCAGUGUUAUUUCUCCUAACAAUCCCUGGUUUCCAACUGUCAAUCCCUCUUUGACAUGCUGUUUUAAACAAGGGGUGAAGAGCAGUCAUGAAGCUGAAGGCCCACUGUAAAAGUACGGCAGCAUUCCAGGGCACUGACUGCACAUAUAGCAGCACACUUCGCUGUCCUGUUGCGGACUGCUGCUGUGAUAUGCCGAAGGUGUUAGUGGUUGUGGCUGUGCUGUAAGGA